GAGAGUGUGACAAUAUUGCAAGAUCUGAUCCCUUUCACCUCACUCAGGCAAAUAAUCAGUAAUUUCUCAGGCAAGUAAGGCACAGUUAAACUUGUCGCCUAAUUAAGACAAACAAGAUAGAGCUGCUGGUGUAAUGCUCUGAAAUAAGACAAUUGUGUUAAUAGACCUCAUGCAAGAAAAGACAGAGGCUAAUGAUUCUCUGGGCAUCUGGAUACUUGGAUAUCCUCAAUCUUGCUUGUGUUAUCUGAACUUCUUGAGCUUACUGAACUGGAACUGGAGGAAUAAGAGCAUACAUAUCCAGAAAUGAAAGACCUCUGUUUAUCCAUUGCGAAAGUACAGCAGAAGUGUUGCCAGCUCAGGCUUUUCUGCAUUGUCCUGUUAAUCCAUGCAACGCUAAAGUGAGAUGUAUUUCCUGAUCUUUUCAUCAAAACGACCUUUGCUAUCUACAGCAAUGUAGAUAUUUCCUUAUUUAUCCUGCUGCAUCAGCUAAUACUUCCAAUCGGAAGCUAUAUCGGAGAGCAUAUUAAAGCCCUUACAAGGUGGCUAUAGUUGCAUUUAGCAGCUGCAAUUAUCCACUGGAUAACCUGUUGUGUAACAAUCAGAAAAACCUGAAUCCUGGGCUUUACCCAGACUUCCCACUGACUUUAUGUACAGCACUGUGGAAUCACAGAAGGCAAGAGUUUUAAAAAUAGACUUUCUCAAAGUACCUCAAUUUGGAGUUAAUGGAGAGAAUAAGCCAACCUGAAGGAUACUGAAAGCCUUGUCUGUGCUUCAACAGGCUUUGUGAAUGUUCUGAAUAUUUGAAAAUCAUAAAGCUGUCUAAAACUGGGCCCACAAACCAUGAAGUCUCCAAAAAUCAGAAGCAACUCCUGAAAAUGUGGACUCUUAAAAGACAGCUCAAACCACAGCUCUGAAGAAACCCACUCCAGUAUUUAGAAAGACGGGAAAAUGGAAAGAAUCAGAAAUAAAUCAUCUCAUCUUCGAGCAUUCAUAAAGUGAGAGGAACACAUUGGAAAAAAAAGAAAAGAAACCAUCCUAUCUAUGAAGCAUUCAGAGUAGAGGUAGGUAAGGAGGAAAAAUGUGUAGUGUAUUCCGCAAAGAGCAACGAAACACAUUGUACUAUGGGAACUGCAAAUAACAAUAGAUAGAUAAAUAAAUAAAUAAACAAAGGCGGGGGAACAUUUUGCAGAAUUGCUCUAUUAAUUUGGAAUGAGUAUUCACUAGGGACGUCGCUUUCUUGCUUAUUGUGUGGCAGAACCACUCAAGUUAGCACCAACUAAAAUUCAUGUAUGUCUCUUCUGUUUCUUUCUCUACUGCUGGAUUUAGUGGAAUUUCAAAUAAAGCUAAAUUCACAUGUA